GUAUAAGAGACAGCUUGGUCAUGCGUCGAGGUCAGCGACGGGCCUUCUUCUUGGCCUUUUUCUUGUCCGCCUCGCGCUUGUCGGUCGGCUCCUUGUCCAGCAUGGUGCCGCGGCAUUUCUUGGCGCCACAGCGACACGCGUACAACGCGAGCUCGGCCGGAUCGUCGGUGCUUUCCCAGGUGAGCUGAUAGUCGUAGCCCAGCUCCUCGCCCGGCUUGAUGUUGCGGAUC
rnacentral:misc_RNA from 1 species